GUCAGAAGUUGUGGUUUCACUAGGGAUGUUUUCCCACUCACUACAGUCAGAAGUUUUGGUUUCACUAGGGAUGUUUUCCCACUCACUAACAGUCAGAAGUUGUGGUUUCACUAGGGAUGUUUUCCCACCACUACAGUCAGAAUGUGUGGUUUCACAGGGAUGUUUCCCACUCACAACAGUCAGAAGUUUGUGUUCACGAGGAUGUUUCCCACCACCAUCAUCAGAAGUUGUGGUUUCACGAGGGAUGUUUUCCCACUCACUACAGUCAGAAGUUGUGGUUUCACUAGGGAUGUUUUCCCACUCACUACAGUCAGAAGUUGUGGUUUCACGAGGGAUGUUUUCCCACUCACUACAGUCAGAAGUUGUGGUUUCACUAGGGAUGUUUUCCCACCACACAGUCAGAAGUUGUGGUUUCACUAGGGAUGUUUUCCCACUCACUACAGUCAGAAGUUGUGUUUCACUAGGGAUGUUUUCCCACUCACUACAGUCAGAAGUUGUGGUCACGAGGAUGUUUUCCCCACUCACUACAGUCAGAAGUUGUGUGUUUCACUAGGGAUGUUUUCCCACUCACUACAGUCAGAAGUUGUGGUUUCACUAGGGAUGUUUUCCCACUCACUACAGUCAGAAGUUGUGUUUUCACUAGGGAUGUUUUCCCACUCACUACAGUCAAAGUUGUGGUUUCACUAGGGAUGUUUUCCCACUCACUACAGUCAGAAGUUGUGGUUUCACUAGGAGUUUUUCCCACUCACUACAGUCAGAAGUUGUGGUUUCACUAGGGAUUUUCCCCACUAUACAGUCAGAAGUUGGUCUAUCACUAGGGAUGUUUUCCCACUCACUACAGUCAGAAGUUGUGGUUUCACUAGGGAUGUUUUCCCACUCAUCACAUACAGCAGAGUUGUCAUAUCACAGGGAUGUUUUCCCACUCACUACAGUCAGAAGUUGUGGUUUCACUAGGGAUGUUUCUCACCCACUACAGUCAGAAGUUGUGGUUUCACUAGGGAUGUUUCCCACUCACUACAGUCAGAAGUUGUCUAUCACUAGGGAUGUUUUCCCACUCACUACAGUCAGAAGUUGGGUAUCACAGGGAUGUUUCCCACCACUACAGUCAGAAGUUUGGGUUUCACUAGGGAUGUUUCCCACCACUAAAGUCAGAAGUUGUCGUAUCACUAGGGAUGUUUUCCCACUCACUACAGUCAGAAGUUGUCAUAUCACUAGGGAUUUUUCCACUACACUACAGUCAGAAGUUGUGGUUCACUAGGGAUUGUUUCCCCUCAUACAGUCAGAAGUUGUCAUUCACUAGGGAUGUUUUCCCACUCACUACAGUCAGAAGUUUGUAUAUCACUAGGGAUGUUUUCCCACUCACUACAGUCAGAAGUUGUGGUAUCACUAGGGAUGUUUUCCCACUCACUACAGUCAGAAGUUGUGGAUCACAGGGAUGUUUCCCACUCACUACAGUCAGAAGUUGUGGU
rnacentral:lncRNA from 1 species